GACGAACGCUGGCGGCGUGCUUAACACAUGCAAGUCGAACGGAAAGGCCCUGCUUUUGUGGGGUGCUCGAGUGGCGAACGGGUGAGUAACACGCGAGUAGCCUGCCCUUGACUUUGGGAUAACUUCAGGAAACUGGGGCUAAUACCGGAUAGGAGCUCCUGCUGCAUGGUGGGGGUUGGAAAGUUUCGGCGGUUGGGGAUGGACUCGCGGCUUAUCAGCUUGUUGGUGGGGUAGUGGCUUACCAAGGCUUUGACGGGUAGCCGGCCUGAGAGGGUGACCGGCCACAUUGGGACUGAGAUACGGCCCAGACUCCUACGGGAGGCAGCAGUGGGGAAUAUUGCACAAUGGGCGGAAGCCUGAUGCAGCAACGCCGCGUGCGGGAUGACGGCCUUCGGGUUGUAAACCGCUUUCGCCUGUGACGAAGCGUGAGUGACGGUAAUGGGUAAAGAAGCACCGGCUAACUACGUG
rnacentral:rRNA from 1 species